AUCAAGUUGGACAUGGGAAACUAAAGAGCAAGUCUAAAGCAGUACUUUUCCUAAUCUUAGGAGGUGCUGUAAUCCCUUGCCUGGAAUCCUUGGCUCUGUGAAGGUUAACCUUCCCUAGCUAUCAAGCAGAGCCAGCCUCAAUAACGCAAGCCCAUGGAAAUCAUAACUGGGAAGGUAAAUUUAUUUUGGUAUACAUAUCAAGAUGCAUACUGAGCAAAAGUAUUUUUGGAU